AGUAGAGGACAGUAGAGGACAGUAGAGGUGAAGAGAGGACAGUAGAGGUGAAGACAGGACAGUAGAGGACAGUAGAGGACAGUAGAGGUGAAGAGAGGACAGUAGAGGACAGUAGAGGUGAAGAGAGGGCAGUAGAGGACAGUAGAGGACAGUAGAGGUGAAGAGAGGACAGUAGAGGUGAAGAGAGGACAGUAGAGGACAGUAGAGGACAGUAGAGGACAGUAGAGGUGAAGAGAGGACAGUAGAGGACAGUAGAGGUGAAGAGAGGACAGUAGAGGACAGUAGAGGUGAAGAGAGGACAGUAGAGGUGAAGAGAGGACAGUAGAGGUGAAGAGAGGACAGUAGAGGACAGUAGAGGUGAAGAGAGGACAGUAGAGGACAGUAGAGGUGAAGAGAGGACAGUAGAGGACAGUAGAGGUGAAGAGAGGACAGUAGAGGUGAAGAGAGGACAGUAGAGGACAGUAGAGGACAGUAGAGGUGAAGAGAGGACAGUAGAGGUGAAGAGAGGACAGUAGAGGUGAAGAGAGGACAGUAGAGGACAGUAGAGGUGAAGAGAGGACAGUAGAGGUGAAGAGAGGACAGUAGAGGACAGUAGAGGUGAAGAGAGGACAGUAGAGGACAGUAGAGGUGAAGAGAGGAUAGUAGAGGACAGUAGAGGUGAAGGGAGGACAGUAGAGGUGAAGAGAGGACAGUAGAGGACAGUAGAGGUGAAGAGAGGACAGUAGAGGUGAAGAGAGGACAGUAGAGGACAGUAGAGGUGAAGAGAGGGUAGGAGGAAAGUAGAGAAGGGAGUACAACAGGAGGGGGGCUUGGCUGCAGUAUAGUGUCUUACUCAGCUCAUCUGCCCAUACAGACAUUUCCACAGCAGCCCUGUGGGCCCUAACCAUAGAACAGGUGAUGAAACUCACCCCUCCUCCCCAUCAUCCCCCCCUCGCCCUACCUCCCUUAACCUUCAACCCCUCCCCCU